GAUGAACGCUAGCGGCAGGCUUAACACAUGCAAGUCGAACGGCAGCGCGGGGCAACCUGGCGGCGAGUGGCGAACGGGUGAGUAACAUAUCGGAACAUACCCUAGAGUGGGGGAUAACGUAGCGAAAGUUACGCUAAUACCGCAUACGCACUAAGGUGGAAAGUGGGGGAUCUUCGGACCUCAUGCUCAUGGAGUGGCCGAUAUCUGAUUAGCUAGUUGGUGAGGUAAAGGCUCACCAAGCCGACGAUCUGUAGCUGGUCUGAGAGGACGACCAGCCACACUGGGACUGAGACACGGCCCAGACUCCUACGGGAGGCAGCAGUGAGGAAUAUUGGACAAUGGGCGCAAGCCUGAUCCAGCCAUGCCGCGUGCAGGAUGACGGUCCUAUGGAUUGUAAACUGCUUUUGUACAGGAAGAAACACUAACUUCGUGAAGUAGCUUGACGGUACUGUAAGAAUAAGGAU
rnacentral:rRNA from 1 species